GUGCCAGCCGCCGCGGUAAUACGGAGGGUGCAAGCGUUGUCCGGAAUUACUGGGUGUAAAGGGUGCGCAGGCGGGGCAGCAAGUCAGAGGUGAAAGCCCACGGCUUAACCGUGGAAGUGCCUUUGAAACUGCUGUUCUUGAGUCCCGGAGAGGUCGUCGGAAUUCGUGGUGUAGCGGUGAAAUGCGUAGAUAUCACGAGGAACACCAGAGGCGAAAGCGGACGACUGGACGGGUACUGACGCUCAGGCACGAAAGCGUGGGGAGCAAACAGGAUUAGAAACCCUGGUAGUCC
rnacentral:rRNA from 1 species